rnacentral:rRNA from 1 species
AUUGAACGCUGGCGGCAUGCCUAACACAUGCAAGUCGCACGCGAAAGGGGGCAACCCUGAGUAGAGUGGCGGACGGGUGAGUAACGCGUAGGACUCUACCUGGUAGUGGGGGACCACCCGGUGAAAACCGGGCUAAUACCGCAUACGAUCCGCGGAUGACAGCAGGGGACCGCAAGGCCUUGCGCUAUCAGAUGAGCCUGCGUCGGAUUAGCUAGUUGGUGGGGUAAAGGCCCACCAAGGCGACGAUCCGUAGCUGGUUUGAGAGAACGACCAGCCACACUGGGACUGAGACGCGGCCCAGACUCCUACGGGAGGCAGCAGUGGGGAAUAUUGGACAAUGGGGGCAACCCUGAUCCAGCAAUGCCGCGUGUGUGAAGAAGGCCUUCGGGUUGUAAAGCACUUUUGUCCGGAAAGAAAUGGCUCUGGUUAAUACCUGGGGUCGAUGACGGUACCGGAAGAAUAAGGACCGGCUAACUACGUGCCAGCCGCCGCGGUAA